ensembl:lncRNA
AUCUCCCCAUUACAAUCUUAACAUUUUAAAGGGAAAGGGUUGUAAAUUUGAAGAUCUUCCUGAGUGUAGUCCCUCAUGUCCCUGUACUGAGAACUAUUAAGACCUGAAAACUGCUUCUGCAGACUUGGAUGUUUAUUGCACUGGAAGGCUGCAAGGAUUUACAGUAAAAAAUGAUAUUGUGCUGAAAACAGAUUAUUCGAAUCCAGACGUCUCUGAAUCUUAGGGAUGUUGGAACAAGGUUCAGCCCAUUAGCAAGCUAAACUUUGUAAUGGUGUUUCACUGCAGGUUGGGGAUUUGGGGAUGUAGACCUGACACAUGUGUAACUGCCCUCCGGGAACCGCAGCCCAGUUUGUCAGAGCAGCCAGGCCUUAACUUCUGACAGUGGCCCACAUCCUGUUGCUUGGAGUUAGGUAUUGAAAUGCCUUUGAAAAACUUCUCCUAACACCCAUCGAUCACUUUCACAUCUCAUUCUUCAGGUGUGACUUUACUUACACCAAGUUCUGCCCAUCAUGUCAAACAAGGUAGAACUAUUCAUUUUGAUGGACCACUUGAGCUGAUUUACUGGGACCCAAACUGCAGUUCAGCUUCUGGCAUUCUGUCCAAGUAUCCAAAGUCCGACCAGAACUCAGGAGCUGGCUGCUGACUGUGAGUGUGAGAUGGGAGUAGCUUGUAGGUGCCAUUUGAAGAGGACCCUGCCCAGGUGUUUGAGAGUUGGAAGGUGUGACCCAAACCUUCACAGCAUGGCCUGUUAUGUGCUGCCUGGCUGACGGUCAUGGGCAGACUCUGACCAAAUUACGUGUAUUUGUUUUCCAGAAUUCCCCUGCUCACACCUCCAUCAAAAAGAGGAUCUAACCAUUUCCCCUCAGGUUCCUACAACCCCAUUGCUGCAGCCUUGGUAUGUGCCUGACAUCCAGAAAAAUGAUACUGCCAAGGGAAAAAAGAGGCAAGAGCCGUGGCCUUUUGACAGAUGCUCCACAGUGCUGCAUCUAUCCUGUUCUAUGUUAGAAACUGCAUGAACUACUGAGAAUGGUUUAAUGAGAAUACAUUAAAAAAAGUACUUUAACAAGGAAAUUAUAGUAGGAUGUACGAGUGCCAACUUUAAAGUAAAUUUGAAAAACUUAAUCUAUCUGCUUUAGAAACUGGACUAAUUAUUUGCAAGUUCAUUUUUUAAUUAAAAAGCCAGAUCUUUCCAUACCAAUUAAUUUCUGGUUUAGAACUUCUUUUUUUUUUCCACUUUCAUAAGUAGACACCCAGGACUGUGAUUUUUGUUAGACAAAACUCCAGCUGGAAAACUGCUGAAGUUCAUAAACUCCUCAUUGUUACUAGGAAAGUGCUACAGCCCUGUUUCUCAUUUCCACGAACAAUCAGGAGAACUCUACCUACUGCCUGCUACAGUUUUCCCAGAAGUACUAGCACCAGCAAGGAGAGGCUGGGGGGUGACUGCGCCUAGCCUAGCCCUGUCCUCUCAGUCUCUCUGUGGCUCAUGAGUCUGGGGGUGUUUCCUGGUCACAGGGUGCAGAAAUAUCGACUGUUGGGUUGAGGUUCAGGUGCGUCUCAGUUUGGUGCUGAUGAAGCACUCUCUCAGACUGUUUGACAUGAAUUGGUGGAGCUUUGAUUUACAGUAGAUGUUGCUGCUGGCAGUAAGCGAGCAAGAGACUGCUUGCAGUGGUAACAAAUGGCCAAACUGAACACUUGAGUUCUUUUGACCAAAAACUUGAGAUGUUUUAUCAGGAGAAGAUGGUGUUAUUGGUAUACACCUGUUAGUGGGACACAGACCUUUAGGUUCCACUGCUCUUAAAUCAGAAUAGAAUAGCCCCAGAGCUCUACACUAGCCACUGAAGAGCAGCAUGGAUAGCCAAUGAGGAUUUUUUAACACACUAUUAAAAGAAGUCUUGCAUAAGUAAAAAAAAAUUGCCCUGCACACAUGCCAUUUUUCACAGGAAUAUGUCAACAUGAAUUGUAGGUAAAGAAGGAUAGUGUACUUCUUUCCAGGGAGUUCACCUGAAUAAUAUGUAG